rnacentral:ncRNA from 1 species
CGUGGACCGAAAUUAAAGUAGGGAAGUAUGUGAGCUAGCUGCCAAGAAAAGCCGCUAUUGUUUAUUAUGUACCCGUACCGUAAACCGACACAGGUGGAUGAGGAGAGAAUCCUAAGGCCGACGGGAGAAGCAUUGUUAAGGAACUCGGCAAAAUGACCCCGUAACUUCGGGAGAAGGGGUGCCUGCAGAAAUGCAGGCCGCAGAGAAUAGGCUCAAGCAACUGUUUAGCAAAAACACAGGUCUAUGCAAAACCGAAAGGUGAAGUAUAUGGGCUGACGCCUGCCCGGUGCUGGAAGGUUAAGGGGAGGAGUUAGAGGUAACUCGAAGCUCUGAACUUAAGCCCCAGUAAACGGCGGCCGUAACUAUAACGGUCCUAAGGUAGCGAAAUUCCUUGUCGGGUAAGUUCCGACCCGCACGAAAGGCGUAAUGAUUUGAGCACUGUCUCGACAAUGCACCCGGUGAAAUUGAAAUACCAGUGAAGAUGCUGGUUACCUGCGCCAGGACGGAAAGACCCCAUGGAGCUUUACUCCAGCUUGAUACUGAAAUUUGGUAUUACAUGUACAGGAUAGGUGGGAGACUGUGAUCCGGUUACGCCAGUAGCCGAGGAGUCGAUGUUGGGAUACCACCCUUGUAGUAUUAGGUUUCUAACUCGUGUUCAUUAUCUGGGCAGAGGACAAUGUCAGGCGGGGAGUUUGACUGGGGCGGUCGCCUCCGAAAGGGUAUCGGAGGCGCUCAAAGGUCUCCUCAGAAUGGUUGGAAACCAUUCGCAGAGUGCAAAGGCAUAAGGAGGCUUGACUGUGACACCGACGGGUGGAGCAGGUACGAAAGUAGGACUUAGUGAUCCGGUGGUAUAAAGUGGGAUUGCCAUCGCUCAACGGAUAAAAGCUACCCUGGGGAUAACAGGCUUAUCACUCCCAAGAGUUCACAUCGACGGAGUGGUUUGGCACCUCGAUGUCGGCUCAUCGCAUCCUGGGGCUGUAGUAGGUCCCAAGGGUUGGGCUGUUCGCCCAUUAAAGCGGUACGCGAGCUGGGUUCAGAACGUCGUGAGACAGUUCGGUCCCUAUCCGGCGUAGGCGUAGGAUAUUUGAGAGGAGCUGACCUUAGUACGAGAGGACCGGGUUGGACGAACCUCUGGUGUAUCGGUUGCAUUACCAAGUGCAUGGCCGAGUAGCCAAGUUUGGAAGGGAUAAACGCUGAAGGCAUCUAAGCGUGAAGCCCCCCUCAAGAUAAGAUAUCCCAUAGCACAAGCUAGUAAGACCCCUGAAAGACGAUCAGGUUGAUAGGACAGAGAUGGAAGUGUGGUAACACAUGUAGUUGACUGUUACUAAUAGGUCGAGGGCUUAACCAA